rnacentral:rRNA from 1 species
UACGAAAGGGGCUAGCGUUGUUCGGAAUUACUGGGCGUAAAGCGCACGUAGGCGGCCUUGUAAGAUGGGGGUGAUAUCCCUGGGCUCAACCCAGGAACUGCCUUCAUGACUGCAAAGCUCGAGGAUGUGAGAGGUUGGCGGAAUUCCGAGUGUAGAGGUGAAAUUCGUAGAUAUUCGGAAGAACACGGGUGGCGAAGGCGGCGAACGGGAACAUUUCAGACGUUGAGGUGAGUAAGCGUGAGGAGCAAACAGG